rnacentral:lncRNA from 1 species
UAUAAUCUAGACCAAUUUCAAUAAUUCAAUAGAUUGUGUCUGGCAACCAGUAAGAUUCCUCGGUUGCAAUGGAAAGGCUUGUAUGGAUCAUCAGCAGUGCCUGUGUCGUUGUAGAAGCAUUGCAUUAAGAAAGAGAAAAUUCAUUAUCUCUCUCUUAAUUCAACAGCUUUUAGUGAACACUGUUGAUGAAAAAAUGGCUGAAGAAGAUUACAUGCCACAAAGAAAAGAGAAAAUGCUGAGAUUUGUUACCAUGUAUGUUGACAAAGAUCAUGCUUAAGUUCUCCAAUAUACUUACAUUUUUCGCACUCAACCUUUACACAAAAAGAGAAGAAAAUAUGAAAUGAAACCUAAUAUUCAAGUUUGUGACUAUUAACAUAACAUGACAUGAUAACAAAAAUUGAGCAACACUAUAGCCUUAAUUAAUAUUCAAGUUUAUCAUCCCACAUUAGAAGCAAAACAGUGCACCUCCACAUUAUAUACAGUCUAGUUUUCUGCUCCCUGAAUUGCCUUGAACACCGUCGCAUCAAUCGAGGCUUUUCUAUUCUCAUUGAUAAUGAUUGUCUACUCUUGCUAUAUAUAGAUAUGAUAUUAUAGCUAUAACUCUUAUAGUAUAAAACACAAGAACUUAUGAUUAUAUAUAGAAGAAGAAGGUAGUGAUGAAUUAUGAUUAGUGAAAAAUGUGUCAGAACACGUAGGAACCGACAAGGGUGGCCCCUAACCUAAUAGAUAUGAAAACGACAAAGCAGUCUUCGUCACAUUGUCUCUCUCCCAAAUAGACUUUGCUUCAACAGCUCAUCCUUGUAGGAUUGCCCAACCCUGUCUGUCUCUACUCUCUACAAUCUAAUACUCAAUACUAUACUAUAUACGAAUUUCUGCCUCAUUUUCAGGCUUCCAUUUUGUUAUUUCCAUGUUGAUAUAUCAAGUAUCAUAUCAACAAACACCUAUGUAUUCCAGCUAGGAUAUUUUAUUAAUUAUUUUUACAAUAAUGUGGUGGAGAAUCAAUGGUAGGUUCUUUUAAUUAAUACUAAAAGUAUUUCAUAUUAUUGAAUCAAACAAUGAAAUGACUUUCAUUGAACUGUACAUUGUGAUUAUAAGCUUUUAAAUAAUAGAUAUAUUGUAUAGUUAAAAUUGAAAUUCAACUUACAGAAUUGCCCUAAGGUGGUGGGGAGAGUGAUUUUACAUUACUAGCACAUAUAUUUUUCAACCACCAAUUUCGU